CGGCCGCGGUAUUUUGACCGUGCAAAGGUAGCGCAAUCACUUGUCUUUUAAAUAGAGACCCGUAUGAAUGGCUAAACGAGGGCUUAACUGUCUCCCUUUUCAAGUCAGUGAAAUUGAUCUACCCGUGCAGAAGCGGGUAUAACAAUACAAGACGAGAAGACCCUUUGGAGCUUAAGGUACAAAACUCAACCACACCAAGCAACUUAAUAAAAAGUAAAAACUUUGUGAAACAUGAGGUUUUACCUUCGGUUGGGGCGACCGCGGAGGAAAAUAAAGCCUCCAAGUGGACCGGGACAAACUCCUAAAACCAAGAGAAACAUCUCUAAGCCACAGAACAUCUGACCAAACAUGAUCCGGCCACCAGGACCGAUCAACGAACCAAGUUACCCUAGGGAUAACAGCGCAAUCCUCUCCCAGAGUCCAUAUCGACGAGGGGGUUUACGACCUCGAUGUUGGAUCAGGACAUCCUAAUGGUGCAGCCGCUAUUAAGGGUU
rnacentral:rRNA from 2 species